rnacentral:misc_RNA from 1 species
GAUGAAGAACGUAGCGAAAUGCGAUACGUAAUGUGAAUUGCAGAAUUCAGUGAAUCAUCGAAUCUUUGAACGCAUAUUGCGCUCUUUGGUAUUCCGAAGAGCAUGCUUGUUUGAGUAUCAGUAAACACCUCAAAGCUUUUGGAUUUUUUAAUCGAAAAGCUUUGGACUUGAGCAAUCCCAACACCAAUCUUUUUGAGAUCGGUGGCGGGUUGCUUGAAAUGCAGGUGCAGCUGGACAUUCUCCUGAUCUAAAAGCAUAUUCAUUUAGUCCCGUCAAACGGAUUAUUACUUUUGCUGCAGCUAACAUAAAGGGAGUUUGACCGUAUUGGCUGACUGAUGCAGGAUUUCACAAGGGUCGGCAACGAUUCUUGUUAAACUCGAUCUCAAAUCAAGUAAGACUACCCGCUGAACUUAAGCAUAUCAAUAAGCGGAGGA